GAAAUGCGAUAAGUAGUGUGAAUUGCAGAAUUUAGCGAAUCAUCGAAUCUUUGAACGCACAUUGCGCCCCUCGGUAUUCCGUGGGGCAUGCCUGUUCGAGCGUCAUCUACACCCUCAAGCUCUGCUUGGUGUUGGGCGUCUGUCCCGCCUCCGCGCGCGGACUCGCCCCAAAUGCAUUGGCAGCGGUUCCUUGCCCCCCUCUUUGCGCAGCACAUUGCCAUUCGAGGCGGCGGCGGCCCGCGUCCAACAAGCUCAACCCCCCCGUCUUUGACCUCGGAUCAGGUAGGGAUACCCGCUGAACUUAAGC
rnacentral:misc_RNA from 1 species